CUACGGGAGGCAGCAGUGGGGAAUUUUGCGCAAUGGGGGAAACCCUGACGCAGCAAUACCGCGUGAGUGAAGAAGGCCUUUGGGUCGUAAAGCUCUUUUCUUGGGGAAGAUAGUGACGGUACCCAAGGAAUAAGCACCGGCUAACUCCGUGCCAGCAGCCGCGGUAAUACGGAGGGUGCAAGCGGUGUUCGGAUUUACUGGGCGUAAAGGGCACGUAGGCGGCACAGCAAGUUAAGGGUGAAAUCCCGGGGCUCAACUCCGGAACUGCUCUUAAAACUGCUGAGCUAGAGAUAGGCAGAGGCGGGUGGAAUUCCAGGUGUAGAGGUGAAAUUCGUAGAUAUCUGGAGGAACACCGGUGGCGAAGGCGGCCCGCUGGGGCUAUUCUGACGCUAAGGUGCGAAAGCGUGGGGAGCAAACGGGAUUAGAUACCCUUGUAGUC
rnacentral:rRNA from 1 species